UACAGAGGGGGCAAGCGUUGUUCGGAAUUACUGGGCGUAAAGGGCGCGUAGGCGGAUAGUUUAGUCAGAGGUGAAAGCCCAGGGCUCAACCUUGGAACUGCCUUUGAUACUGGCUAUCUUGAGUUCGGGAGAGGUGAGUGGAAUGCCGAGUGUAGAGGUGAAAUUCGUAGAUAUUCGGCGGAACACCAGUGGCGAAGGCGACUCACUGGCCCGAUACUGACGCUGAGGCGCGAAAGCGUGGGGAGCAAACAGG
rnacentral:rRNA from 1 species